rnacentral:rRNA from 1 species
AUUGAACGCUGGCGGAAUGCUUUACACAUGCAAGUCGAACGGCAGCACGGACUUCGGUCUGGUGGCGAGUGGCGAACGGGUGAGUAACGUAUCGGAACGUGCCCAGUCGUGGGGGAUAACGUAGUGAAAAUUACGCUAAUACCGCAUACGAUCUAUGGAUGAAAGCGGGGGAUCGCAAGACCGCGCGCGAUUGGAGCGGCCGAUAUCAGAUUAGGUAGUUGGUGGGGUAAAGGCCCACCAAGCCAACGAUCUGUAGCUGGUCUGAGAGGACGACCAGCCACACUGGAACUGAGACACGGUCCAGACUCCUACGGGAGGCAGCAGUGGGGAAUUUUGGACAAUGGGCGAAAGCCUGAUCCAGCCAUUCCGCGUGCAGGAUGAAGGCCCUCGGGUUGUAAACUGCUUUUGUACAGAACGAAAAGGUUUCUACUAAUACUAGGAGCUCAUGACGGUACAGUAAGAAUAAGCACCGGCUAACUACGUGCCAGCCGCCGCCGUAA